AGUCCCAUAGUUUAAUGGAUAGAACUUAGGAUUUCUAACCCUAAAGUGUAGGUUCAAUUCCUACUGGGACUA
rnacentral:tRNA from 1 species